GAUGAACGCUGGCGGCGUGCCUAAUACAUGCAAGUCGAGCGAACAGACGAGGAGCUUGCUCCUCUGACGUUAGCGGCGGACGGGUGAGUAACACGUGGAUAACCUACCUAUAAGACUGGGAUAACUUCGGGAAACCGGAGCUAAUACCGGAUAAUAUAUUGAACCGCAUGGUUCAAUAGUGAAAGACGGUUUUGCUGUCACUUAUAGAUGGAUCCGCGCCGCAUUAGCUAGUUGGUAAGGUAACGGCUUACCAAGGCAACGAUGCGUAGCCGACCUGAGAGGAUGAUCGGCCACACUGGAACUGAGACACGGUCCAGACUCCUACGGGAGGCAGCAGUAGGGAAUCUUCCGCAAUGGGCGAAAGCUUGACGGAGCAACGCCGCGUGAGUGAUGAAGGUCUUCGGAUCGUAAAACUCUGUUAUUAGGGAAGAACAAAUGUGUAAGUAACUAUGCACGUCUUGACGGUACCUAAUCAGAAAGCCACGGCUAACUACGU
rnacentral:rRNA from 1 species